AUUGAACGCUGGCGGCAGGCUUAACACAUGCAAGUCGAGCGGAGAGAGGUAGCUUGCUACUGAUCUUAGCGGCGGACGGGUGAGUAAUGCUUAGGAAUCUGCCUAUUAGUGGGGGACAACAUUUCGAAAGGAAUGCUAAUACCGCAUACGUCCUACGGGAGAAAGCAGGGGAUCUUCGGACCUUGCGCUAAUAGAUGAGCCUAAGUCGGAUUAGCUAGUUGGUGGGGUAAAGGCCUACCAAGGCGACGAUCUGUAGCGGGUCUGAGAGGAUGAUCCUCCACACUGGGACUGAGACACGGCCCAGACUCCUACGGGAGGUAGCAGUGGGGAAUAUUGGACAAUGGGCGGAAGCCUGAUCCAGCCAUGCCGCGUGUGUGAAGAAGGCCUUAUGGUUGUAAAGCACUUUGAGCGAGGAGGAGGCUACUUUAGUUAAUACCUAGAGAUAGUGGACGUUACUCGCAGAAUAAGCACCGGCUAACUCUGUGCCAGCCGCCGCAGUAAUAC
rnacentral:rRNA from 1 species